rnacentral:rRNA from 1 species
AUUGAACGCUGGCGGCAGGCCUAACACAUGCAAGUCGAGCGGAUGAAGGUAGCUUGCUAUCUGAUUCAGCGGCGGACGGGUGAGUAAUGCCUAGGAAUCUGCCUGGUAGUGGGGGACAACGUUUCGAAAGGAACGCUAAUACCGCAUACGUCCUACGGGAGAAAGUGGGGGAUGUUCGGACCUCACGCUAUCAGAUGAGACUAGGUACGAUUAGCUAGUUGGUGAGGUAAAGGCUCACCAAGGCGACGAUCGUUAACUGGUCUGAGAGGAUGAUCAGUCACACUGGAACUGAGACACGGUCCAGACUCCUACGGGAGGCAGCAGUGGGGAAUAUUGGACAAUGGGCGAAAGCCUGAUCCAGCCAUGCCGCGUGUGUGAAGAAGGUCUUCGGAUUGUAAAGCACUUUAAGUUGGGAGGAAGGGCAGUAAGUUAAUACCUUGCUGUUUUGACGUUACCAACAGAAUAAGCACCGGCUAACUUCGUGCCAGCAGCCGCCGUAAAAC